rnacentral:rRNA from 1 species
UACGGAGGGUGCAAGCGUCGUUCGGAAUUAUUGGGCGUAAAGCGCGCGCAGGCGGCUGGAGAAGUCCAUGGGUGAAAGGCCGGGGCUCAACCCCGAGUGUGCCCAGGAUACUCUCUGGCUGGAGACACGUAGAGGCAAGCGGAAUUUCGGGUGUAGCGGUGGAAUGCGUAGAGAUCCGGAAGAACACCGGUGGCGAAGGCGGCCUGCUGGGCAGUUGCUGACACUGAGGCGCGACAGCGUGGGGGGAGCAAAACAGG